UGAAAGCUGGCAUAGUCCACCUCGUAGAAGCCGUCCUCCAGAGUCAGCACUGAUGUGAAGCGGUGGCCCCACAGCACCUCGUCUACCAGGAUUAAAUCGACUCAGAGGUGGAAAGUGCUUUGGAACUGUGCAUGACACAGGAUCCUAUAAAUUUGGAUCAAGAAAAUAUGAGCUAGAGGAGCAGGAAGACAUAGAGAUGGACACGGAGGGCUAGAAGCUCCUGGAAUGACCUGGUAAGCCUGAGUCAUUCAGCUACGAGUUGCUCCACUACUAAUGGAAUUUGUUCAGCACUGUGGGAUGUGAGCACCAAAAUGCCACUUGGAAUCCUGAAUCCGGUGGUGAGCCAUGUCAGUCUCUGUUCUUUUCAGACUUGUUAAAUACUGACUAUUCUGAGUCUCUAUCAUGCCUCCCAGUCCAAAGCUUUCCUGAUUCCCUCUGUCCACAUCUGCUUUGCCAAGCACAAGCCCCUCAGACUGCUGCCCACUUGUGGAUUCUCUUUCCAAAACAGGUGACACACCCCAACUCUCCUCCUCCUCUGCUCUGAGGUAGCCUCUGCCCCGUUGUAAAUGAAGUAAAAGUAGAGAUGAGGCCAAAGCUGGAAGCAGUGAGUCUGAAAGGAGAAGUGGAGGAGAAUAAGGAAGAUGCAAGCUGGGAAACGGAAAGAAGAGAGAGGGUUCCUCAAAGAGAGAAGGUUCCUCUGUCAUGUUUCACGGUGGACACUGGACAUUGUAACUCUGGGGAAUUUUUCAUACCAACAUGUACUCAGGGGUCAUAGCCUCUGGUUGGCAAGAUUGUGUUUAAACCAUGCAAAUUCCCUCUGGCAUUAUUCUGAGACAAGCUUUGGGGUCAAAUAUAUGUGGAUUCAAAUGCCAAAACUAACACUUUCCAGCUAUGUUACCAGAGGCAAACCACUUAACUCCUGAGAAUUUGUUUCCUCAUCUCCUGAUCUAUCUGACAUAGUAAACACUCACAAAUAUUAAUGUCCUAUGCCCCUUAUUACCGAUUCCCUACUGGGCUCCUAGAGACUGUUCUAGGACUUCUCUUUUGCAAACAAAUUUAAAAAUGAAAACCAGACAUUUGAUAUGUACAAAAGAAUAUAGAUGGUGGAUAUAUGUCUACAUGUUAUAAAGCAUAAUUUAAGAACAAAAACUCAAUUUAAAUCACUCUUUUAAAGUCAGAACAUUACAGUGCUGUUGAAGCUACCUGUGUACUUUUCCACAAGCUCCCACCCCUGCUGCUCAAGGACUUAUAAAGUCUUUCUAACUGCCCAGUCCCACCCCACUCUAUCCUCACUGUGAUUGUUAGUAGAUGACACUUCUGCAGAUCACUUGUAGUUUUUUAGUCUGAUUGACCAGAAGUAACACAGAAUUAAGGAAGUCAUGAGCACUUCCAGCCUUGGAGAGGAAGAUGCCGAGUUCAGUUUGGGGGCCUGCCACGUUUUUUAUCUUUUUUUUUUUUUUCUAGGUCUUCUGUGGUGAAGACCUCCUUCACUGUGACCUGUAAGCAAGAGGCACCUGUUUGGGGUUUUAAAACAAGGGCACAGGGACCGACGUGAUGAAAACAUGUUGCCUCUUCCUUUGAGACUGGAGAGAAAGGUGAAGAAUGGGUCACGUCCUGGGCUGUACUGAUCUUUCUGAUCCUGGUAGUGGUCAUAUGAAUGAAAAAGGACAUUGCAAACAGAUGAAAGAAAGGGAGACUUGACAGCAUUUGUUGGCUUAAUUGACAUGUCCAGGAAUGGGCCCAAGGCAAGGGUGAAGAGUAAAGGUCACUUAUUCUAAUCGACCAGGAGUAACACAGAACUAAGGAAGUCACCGAGCACUUCCACCUUUGGGGAGGAACUUACUGAGUUCAGUUUGGGGCCCGUCAAGUCAGGAUGGAAAUUCCCUGCAAGCAACUAGAAAUAUGGAGCUCCAAAGAGAGUGUAGGAUUGAAGACAGAGAUUUGGGCUUCACUCAGGGACAAUAGUUGGAGCUAUGUAAAUGACAAAGGAUCAAGGGGCAAGACACAGAAAGAGAACAUAAGGCUGAACCUUGAGUAUUAAAAGAAGUCGCUGUAGCUUUGGGUGUGUAGGGGCAGUGGAAGAAGAUGAGGCUGGAAUGGCACCAGGUCCAGGUUAUAAUAGGCCUUCUCUUCUAGGGUAAGGAACUUGGACUUUACUUACAGAUAGUUGACAGUUGCUGAAGGUUUUAAAACUUGGAAGUGAUAUGGUCAGAUGUGUGUUUCAGAGAGAUGUAUUUUACUGGUGCUUAAUUACUUUUAAAUAAAGAAAUUCAUAAUCCAAAGAAUUAUUAGAGUGGAGGAAGACUGGAGGUAGGAAAACUAGUUAGAAGGCUGCUGCAGUAGCCCUGGUGUAUUAGGCCGUUCUUGAGUUGCUAUAAAGAAAUACCCGAGACAGCACAUGGUGGCUCAAGCCUGUAAUCCCAGCAUUUUGGGAGGCUGAGG